rnacentral:rRNA from 1 species
AAGUCGUAACAUGGUAAGCGUACCGGAAGGUGCACUUGGAAA